rnacentral:rRNA from 1 species
GUGUCAGCCGCCGCGGUAAGACGAACUGUCCAAACGUUGUUCGGAAUCACUGGGCUUAAAGGGCGCGUAGGCGGUCCGGUAAGUCAGGGGUGAAAUCCCACAGCUUAACUGUGGAAGUGCCUUUGAUACUGCCGGUCUGGAGGGAGAUAGGGGUGUGCGGAACUUCCAGUGGAGCGGUGAAAUGCGUUGAUAUUGGAAGGAACGCCGGAGGCGAAAGCGGCGCACUGGAUCUCUACUGACGCUGAGGCGCGAAAGCUAGGGGAGCAAACGGGAUUAGAUACCCUCGUAGUCC